rnacentral:lncRNA from 1 species
GUCCGAAAGUUUGAAAGAAAGCGAUGAGGACAAUUUCCCUUCAAAGCAGAUCAAUAGCAGCAGAUUCAGAUGAAAGACAUCGAAAAAUCACAAAUCUAAAAGAUCCAGGACAAUCUCAUGGGCAUGGGAAUUGCCACACGGGCCAGAACCCAAGGCCCAAGGGGACAGAGUUCUCCUCUGAGUCCUGCCCGAUGCUGGAUGUCCUUCCUGGUGGCAAGAUCACAGGGUCAGGGGACACCCCACACGGAGAUCAGCCAACCAUGAAUAUGCCUCAGACUUCAUUUGACGCACUUUCUAUGCUUACACCCAGCUCCCUCUUGGGUAAUGAAUUCUGUGACCUUAUUACUUGCUGGAAAUAAAAUAGAUUCCUCUCAUGUAACGUAAAAGUCCUCUUGCUCCAGUGUCACCGAUCCCUUCUUAAACCUGUGCUGCUGGGCUGCAAUGAACAAGGACUUGCUUCCGAGCCCCAUGUGUCCCGUGGAAAUUUCUGGCUCUCUCAGCAGCCCCCCUCAGCCUUCCACAUUCCAGACUAAAGUAAAUGUGUAGUGGCUAGAAGGAAGCCCUAAAUAUAAUAUUUAGUGAGCCAUGAUUAUGGACCUGAAUGUUAAGAGCUGCC